rnacentral:rRNA from 1 species
GGGUGCGAUCAUACCAGCACUAAUGCACCGGAUCCCAUCAGAACUCCGAAGUUAAACGUGCUUGGGCGAGAGUAGUACUAAGAUGGGUGACC